rnacentral:rRNA from 1 species
GACGAACGCGGGCGGCGUGCGUAAUACAUGCAAGUAGAACGCACAGUAUAUACCGUAGCUUGCUACACCAUAGACUGUGAGUUGCGAACGGGUGAGUAACGCGUAGGUAACCUGCCUGGUAGCGGGGGAUAACUAUUGGAAACGAUAGCUAAUACCGCAUAAUAUUAAUUAUUGCAUGAUAAUUGAUUGAAAGAUGCAACUGCAUCACUACCAGAUGGACCUGCGUUGUAUUAGCUAGUAGGUGAGGUAACGGCUCACCUAGGCGACGAUACAUAGCCGACCUGAGAGGGUGAUCGGCCACACUGGGACUGAGACACGGCCCAGACUCCUACGGGAGGCAGCAGUAGGGAAUCUUCGGCAAUGGACGAAAGUCUGACCGAGCAACGCCGCGUGAGUGAAGAAGGUUUUCGGAUCGUAAAGCUCUGUUGUAAGAGAAGAACGGGUGUGAGAGUGGAAAGUUCACACUGUGACGGUAUCUUACCAGAAAGGGACGGCUAACUACGUGCCAGCAGCCGCGGUAAUACGUAGGUCCCGAGCGUUGUCCGGAUUUAUUGGGCGUAAAGCGAGCGCAGGCGGUUAGAUAAGUCUGAAGUUAAAGGCUGUGGCUUAACCAUAGUACGCUUUGGAAACUGUUUAACUUGAGUGCAGAAGGGGAGAGUGGAAUUCCAUGUGUAGCGGUGAAAUGCGUAGAUAUAUGGAGGAACACCGGUGGCGAAAGCGGCUCUCUGGUCUGUAACUGACGCUGAGGCUCGGAAGCGUGGGGAGCGAACAGG